CGUGUGCUGCGUCUUCCGGGUUCGGAAAAAAUGCACAUUUUAACGCUUUUGACUAACUCCUGCUUUGUUUUUUCUCUUUUUAUUCGCUUAGAAUAGCUGUUGCGAUGUCGUGUACUGUUUAAGAGAGGAGAGUGUUUUGUUUUCGGAAGCUUUUUGUUACGCAAGACGAGGUGUUGGAUGGCCAGAGUGGAGCACGUGCUGUCAGCUGCCGGGUCAGAUUUCCAGGGCGUGCAGCCGCUCCCCCUCCUCCUCCUCCUCCUCAGCUGAAGAAGAAGAAGAAGAAGAAGAGAGCAAGUGAUUCUGCCCACUUGAAAAGAAGAGCCGGAAUCGUUCGGAAGUGAUUUUGCUGCAGGUGGUCACUCUUGUACCUUGAGGAUGAUAUUUAGCAUCAAUGCAUGAGCAUCCUCCUGUCAACAUGAGAAGAACAUUGAGGGAAUGAGUAUGAGGAACAAGUGUUGCUUCUGAGGAUCAUGUCAGCCUCCUCUCUCCCUGCUCCUAUUGUACAGUCCACCACCGCCCUCCUCUCCCUCCAUGGAUCUGCUUUCAGACUCUGACCCGGGUUGGAUGUGGACCACAAUGAGAUCGCCAACAGACAAAUGGGAGCAAUUUUCGACUUACGGAUGACACAGUUACAAUGUUGGGGGACAAAAUGCUUGGAGGACUCAGCACCCUUCCUUCGCCCCCCGCACCUCCUGCGACUCGCCCCAUCGGGAGGAACCUAAUAGGAAAUCAAAGUUUUUGCAGGAAGAAUGGAGGUGGGCUUAGCGUUACCGUCCCCCGGGAGCUCUCUGCUGAAAGAGGAGUGUAGAAAAGACGGGACUAUGCUAGCUGGCCGGCACUGUGG